GGUGAAUUUUCCGCAAUGGGCGCAAGCCUGACGGAGCAAUACCGCGUGAGGGAGGAAGGCUCUUGGGUCGUAAACCUCUUUUAUCAGGGAAGAACACAAUGACGGUACCUGAUGAAUCAGCAUCGGCUAACUCUGUGCCAGCAGCCGCGGUAAUACAGAGGAUGCAAGCGUUAUCCGGAAUUAUUGGGCGUAAAGCGUCCGCAGGUGGUUUUGGUAGUCUGCUGUCAAAGCGCGAGGCUCAACUUCGUAUCGGCGGUGGAAACUCCAAGACUAGAGCUAGGUAGGGGUCACGGGAAUUCCCAGUGUAGCGGUGAAAUGCGUAGAUAUUGGGAAGAACACCAGCGGCGAAAGCGCGUGACUGGGCCUGAGCUGACACUCAUGGACGAAAGCUAGGGGAGCGAAAGGGAUUAGAUACCCCUGUAGUCCUAGCCGUAAACGAUGACAACUAGGUGUUGCCCGUAUCGACCCGGGCAGUGCCGUAGCCAACGCGUUAAGUUGUC
rnacentral:rRNA from 1 species